UACGGGGGGGGCAAGCGUUGUUCGGAAUUAUUGGGCGUAAAGAGCUCGUAGGCGGUUUGUCGCGUCGAAUGUGAAAACCCGGGGCUCAACCCCGGGCCUGCAUUCGAUACGGGCAGACUAGAGUUCGGUAGGGGAGUCUGGAAUUCCUGGUGUAGCGGUGAAAUGCGCAGAUAUCAGGAGGAACACCGGUGGCGAAGGCGGGUCUCUGGGCCGGAACUGACGCUAAGGAGCGAAAGCGUGGGGAGCGAACAGG
rnacentral:rRNA from 1 species